AUUGAACGCUGGCGGCAUGCUUUACACAUGCAAGUCGAACGGUAACAGGCCGCAAGGUGCUGACGAGUGGCGCACGGGUGAGUAAUGCAUCGGAACGUGCCCAGUCGUGGGGGAUAACUACUCGAAAGAGUAGCUAAUACCGCAUACGAUCUAUGGAUGAAAGCGGGGGACCGUAAGGCCUCUCGCGAUUGGAGCGGCCGAUGUCAGAUUAGGUAGUUGGUGGGGUAAAGGCUCACCAAGCCAACGAUCUGUAGCUGGUCUGAGAGGACGACCAGCCACACUGGGACUGAGACACGGCCCAGACUCCUACGGGAGGCAGCAGUGGGGAAUUUUGGACAAUGGGCGCAAGCCUGAUCCAGCAAUGCCGCGUGCAGGAAGAAGGCCUUCGGGUUGUAAACUGCUUUUGUACGGAACGAAACGGCUCUGGUUAAUACCCGGGGCUAAUGACGGUACCGUAAGAAUAAGCACCGGCUAACUACGUG
rnacentral:rRNA from 1 species